GCACCGGCAGGUAGGGCGGCUCCAGCGCGCGCGGCGGCCCGUACGCCUCGGGCGGCGGGUUGGCGUAGGGCGGGUACCAGCCCAGGCGUGGGUCUCCGCCAUGGGCCUGCGCCGCCUCGGGACCGGGGUCAGGGUGCCACGGCUUACCAAUGGAAGAUUAGGCCAGAUGGCUCCUGAGAGUGCUUUGGGAGAUUCUCUGUUCCUUCUGGGAAUGGCAGGGAUAGGAGGGGGUCCCAGAAGUUUGAACGCUUUGGCAUCCAAGAAAUCACACUCCAAAUACUGCUCUUCUGGCCUCCCCUGGGCUGCCUUCUCCAACCGUGUUCCUGGGAACCGAAGGGCAGAAAUUGCCCUCUUGGGCUUAUAAACAAGGAGCUCCUGCCUGCCUGGAUGAAGAGGAGGUCAAGACUUUGUCCCCCACUCCGCAAGAUACCCUCUCUGUUCCGGAGCGGUGGGUCCCUCCCCUGUUAGGACCUUGUCUCCCUCAGGACUGGACCUGGAUCCUGGGCCUGCAGUCAGAUUGCCAGUUUCACUUAGAGGUGGAAAUGUCAACCCACUGGUUGGAAUGGGAAGGUGAGACAGGAUUUCACCAUGUUAGCCAGGAUGGUCUUGAUCUCCUGACCUCAUGAUCUGCCCACCUCGGCCUCCCAAAGUGCUGGGCUUACAGGCGUGAGCCACCGUGCCCGGCCAAAAAUAACUUUUAAAAACAUGAGUAUAGCAUACACACACACAAAAGUCCACAAAUCCUAGGUGUACCACUUGAUGAAUGAUCCCAACGUGAGCACACCUCUGGAUUACCACCUGGAUCAAGAAAUAGGACAUCACAGCAGCUGGCAGCUUCCAAGGAGAAGCUCUGGAAAGUUCUGCCUGUCUCAGCACCUGGCUGGAUCGGAAACGAGUUUUCUUUAACCAGAUUUUUAAUGACUGACUUAUGUGGACAAAUCAUAACUGAAUGAAUCACCUCCUUUGUUGAUUUUUUUGGGUACUUUAUUUGCUAUUAUAAAUGAUGCUGUAAUAAGCACCCUUGAAGAAAUCUUCAUAUCUGCCUCUCCUGUGUAGCAGGUCACAGUGCCUGGGUUUGGUUCUAGCCCUCAUUUGUGAACUGUGUGACUCACCAUGCCUUUUUUCUUUCUGUAAGACAGGAAUAAUGGUAAGAAUUUAAAUGGGGGUAAUAUGGAGCGCGUUUAGUUCAGAGCCUGGUGCAUACAAGCACUCAAUAAGUACUGGCGAUUAUUAGACCUUUAGAUUAAUUUAUUAGAAGUUGGAUUUCUGGUGAAAGGGUUUGAGUGUUUUUGAGGCUUUGGCACAGAAUACCCAGCUGGUCCCAGAAAGGUGGUUCCCAUUUACCUGCCCGAAGGUAAUUCACCCUUACUGAUACUGAGUACUGUUUUCUAAAAGAACAUUAAAAAUUGGAUAGGUUAAAAACAGGUGAAUACAUUUUUUUAGUUGCAUUUUUUUGGUUACCCGUGAGAGUGAACAUGUUGCCAUGUGUUUGCUGACCUCCUAAAUGGUCUAUUUGCUCCUACCUUUGUACCCCAAAAGUCUGCUCUCAAGAUGGUAGCCAGAAUGAUCCUUUUUGAGACAUAAGUCAAAAUUUCACUCUUCUCCUUAAAGCUCUGCAAUGGUUCUCAGGUUAAAAGCCAAAGUCCUGUUCAAGGCCUCCAGGGUCCUCACCACUUGGUCCCUUGCUCUUUCUGUUCUAGCCAACUUGGCCUUCUCCUGCCCCUCCGCCGCACCAUGGCAAUUUCCCCUGCUCUGUGUGGUCAACUACCUGAAUCUGUUCAAAGCUUUGCUCAAAUGUCUCCUUCCUGAUGAGACCUCCCCAGCCCCUGAGCUCCCCAUGCCUCACUCCUGAUCGCCUUACUUAACCCUUCUUUUUCUUUUUUGCCAGUAGUACUUAUCACCGUCUAAAAUACUUCAUAAUUUACUUGUUUAUUGUUUGCCCCUCUCCAAUAGAAUGUAAGCUCCUUGGGGCAGGGACCUUUGUCCUUUGUCUUGUUCACUGCUGUGUCCCAUGUGUAAACUUGUCUGGCACAGAAGAGGUGCUCGAUAAAUAUUUGUUGAGUGAAUGAAUGGUAAAUUUUCUGUUCAUAUUCUUUGACUAUUUUCUAUUGUAAUGUUCAUCUUUUUAGUAUUGGUUUAUAAGAUGUAUAUUUAGCACCUUUUCAUAUAUCACUCUUUGUCACAUAUUAUGCAACUAAUUUGUCAUUUCCAUCAAUUUUUAAAAUACUUUCUUGAUGCUUCAUUUUUAAGCUGUCAGAUUAUUAAUCUUUUCUUUAUGGUCUUGGACUUUAUUGUUGCAUAACCGCUGCCUUCACCAGGAACAUAUAAAUUUUCAAUUAAAUGUUCUUCUGAGAUUUU
rnacentral:lncRNA from 10 species